UACGGAAGGCAGCAGUGGGGAAUAUUGGACAAUGGGCGCAAGCCUGAUCCAGCCAUGCCGCGUGUGUGAAGAAGGCCUUUUUGGUUGUAAAGCACUUUAAGCGAGGAGGAGGCUCUCUUAGUUAAUACCUAAGAUGAGUGGACGUUACUCGCAGAAUAAGCACCGGCUAACUCUGUGCCAGCAGCCGCGGUAAUACAGAGGGUGCGAGCGUUAAUCGGAUUUUACUGGGCGUAAAGCGUGCGUAGGCGGCUUUUUUAAGUCGGAUGUGAAAUCCCCGAGCUUAACUUGGGAAUUGCAUUCGAUACUGGGAAGCUAGAGUAUGGGAGAGGAUGGUAGAAUUCCAGGUGUAGCGGUGAAAUGCGUAGAGAUCUGGAGGAAUACCGAUGGGCGAAGGCAGCCAUCUGGGCCUAAUACUGACGCUGAGGUACGAAAGCAUGGGGAGCAAACAGGAUUAGAUACC
rnacentral:rRNA from 1 species